rnacentral:SRP_RNA from 1 species
CUGCUGGUGGUUUCGCAAUUGUACUCUGAAAACCCCGCCAGGACCGGAAGGUAGCAACGGUAUCAGAACUAUGAUGUGCCGAAAUUUUGCUAGUAGGGUU